rnacentral:rRNA from 1 species
AGAGUUUGAUCAUGGCUCAGGAUGAACGCUGGCGGCGUGCCCAACACAUGCAAGUCGAACGGGGCCUGCGCAGCGGAACCCUCCGGGGGGAAGCAGCGCAGUGCCUAGUGGCGGACGGGUGAGUAACGCGUGGGUAACCUGCCCUGUACAGGGGGACAACAGCCGGAAACGGCUGCUAAUACCGCAUAAGCCCGCGGCGCCGCAUGGCGCUGCGGGGAAAACUCCGGUGGUACAGGAUGGGCCCGCGUCUGAUUAGCUAGUUGGCGGGGUAACGGCCCACCAAGGCAGCGAUCAGUAGCCGGCUUGAGAGAGUGGACGGCCACAUUGGGACUGAGACACGGCCCAGACUCCUACGGGAGGCAGCAGUGGGGAAUAUUGCACAAUGGGGGGAACCCUGAUGCAGCAACGCCGCGUGGGUGAAGAAGUAUUUCGGUAUGUAAAGCCCUAUCAGCAGGGAAGAAGAUGACGGUACCUGACUAAGAAGCCCCGGCUAAAUACGUGCCAGCAGCCGCGGUAAUACGUAUGGGGCAAGCGUUAUCCGGAUUUACUGGGUGUAAAGGGAGCGCAGGCGGCGCGGCAAGUCAGAUGUGAAAGCCCGGGGCUCAACCCCGGGACUGCAUUUGAAACUGCCGUGCUGGAGUGUCGGAGAGGCAAGUGGAAUUCCUAGUGUAGCGGUG